rnacentral:rRNA from 1 species
CUUGGUCAUUUAGAGGAAGUAAAAGUCGUAACAAGGUCUCCGUUGGUGAACCAGCGGAGGGAUCAUUACCGAGUUUACAACUCCCAAACCCAAUGUGAACGUUACCAAACUGUUGCCUCGGCGGGAUCUCUGCCCCGGGUGCGUCGCAGCCCCGGACCAAGGCGCCCGCCGGAGGACCAACCAAAAACUCUUUUGUAUACCCCCUCGCGGGUUUUUUAUAUCUGAGCCAUCUCGGCGCCUCUCGUAGGCGUUUCGAAAAUGAAUCAAAACUUUCAACAACGGAUCUCUUGGUUCUGGCAUCGAUGAAGAACGCAGCGAAAUGCGAUAAGUAAUGUGAAUUGCAGAAUUCAGUGAAUCAUCGAAUCUUUGAACGCACAUUGCGCCCGCCAGUAUUCUGGCGGGCAUGCCUGUCCGAGCGUCAUUUCAACCCUCGAACCCCUCCGGGGGGUCGGCGUUGGGGAUCGGCCCUUUACGGGGCCGGCCCCGAAAUACAGUGGCGGUCUCGCCGCAGCCUCUCCUGCGCAGUAGUUUGCACACUCGCAUCGGGAGCGCGGCGCGUCCAUUGCCGUAAAACACCCAACUUUCUGAAAUGUUGACCUCGGAUCAGGUAGGAAUACCCGCUGAACUUAAGCAUAUCAAUAAGCGGAGGA